CGAAGCGCACGGCGAUCAGGCCGACCACCAGCGCGAUGACAUCCGACAACAUGUGAAAGGAGUCGGAGAGCAUGGCCAGGGAGCCGGUCACCCGGCUGACCACCACCUCCGCCACGAAGAAGACGAAGGCUGCAGUCUGAUAGGACAGAAAUGAGCACAGAGGAGUGCUAGUCCCGCCCUCACGUCCUGCUUCAACGUGGUCAAAGAUGAUGCUGCAGCUGGACAGGACUAUGUUCUGGAUGGAAGCUUUCUGCUGCAGUGAAUGGGUUUUACAUACACAGUGUCACAUAAGCAGAUUUCACCCCCAGGCGAAUUUAUUACCAGAACUCAGCAAGCAACAUGCAUGACAAGCAAGAAAAUACUUACAGCAAAAGCUCCAAAGGAAUGUCUAAUAAAACCUUCUAUAAAUGCGACAGAAAUUCCACUAAUGCAACCUAUAUGAAGUGUUCAUGCCGAUAAUGAGCUGGAUAUCCUGCAGCCUGUCUUCCCUGAGCAGGCUGCCCCCUGACCCUGGAUGGUUCCGCCCCCUGACCCUGGAUGGUUCCGCCCCCUGACCCUGGAUGGCUCCACCCUCUGACCCUGG